UACACAUUUCGAUUUUGUAAGGAUAUGCCCGAGCUAUUGCUAUCUUCUCUCCUUAUGGCCAGUUUUACUCAAAUAUGUACUUAUCCUUUCAGAUUGAAGGCUUAAAGGUGUCGAAUCGUUGUUAAGGACCUCUACGACACCAACAAAGUCAGGCAAAUCAGCUGCACACAAGGACAACGAAUGUGUAGAUAUAUUCUUAGAUGACCGCAAAAAGUUUAGUUGCAGAUCGAUGCAGCUGAUUGAAGGAUUUAUGGACUCCAAUGGAUUCUAAGGACCUCUACAGCUCCAACAAGGAUAUCCCGACAAGGA
rnacentral:sRNA from 1 species